rnacentral:rRNA from 1 species
GAUGAACGCUGGCGGCGUGCCUAAUACAUGCAAGUAGAACGCUGAAGCUUGGUGCUUGCACCGAGCGGAUGAGUUGCGAACGGGUGAGUAACGCGUAGGUAACCUGCCUGGUAGCGGGGGAUAACUAUUGGAAACGAUAGCUAAUACCGCAUAACAGUCGACAUUGCAUGAUGUUGAUUUGAAAGGGGCAAUUGCUCCACUACCAGAUGGACCUGCGUUGUAUUAGCUAGUUGGUGAGGUAACGGCUCACCAAGGCGACGAUACAUAGCCGACCUGAGAGGGUGAUCGGCCACACUGGGACUGAGACACGGCCCAGACUCCUACGGGAGGCAGCAGUAGGGAAUCUUCGGCAAUGGGGGCAACCCUGACCGAGCAACGCCGCGUGAGUGAAGAAGGUUUUCGGAUCGUAAAGCUCUGUUGUAAGAGAAGAACGAGUGUGAGAGUGGAAAGUUCACACUGUGACGGUAACUACCAGA